CCGAAAAUCAAACCCAUUAAAGGGGGGAAUUUUCAAUUUUUUUGAUGAUUAUACUUUUUUU
rnacentral:tRNA from 1 species